rnacentral:rRNA from 1 species
UACGUAGGGUGCGAGCGUUGCCCGGAUUUAUUGGGCGUAAAGGGCGCGCAGGCGGCUACGCACGUCCGUUGUGAAAUCGCUCGGCUCAACUGGGCGGGGUCAGCGGAUACGGCGUAGCUGGAGCAAGCUAGGGGGCAAUGGAAUUCCCGGUGUAGUGGUGGAAUGCGUAGAGAUCGGGAAGAACAUCGGUGGCGAAAGCGCUCUACUGGACCGCAACUGACACUCAGGGACGAAAGCGAGGGGAGCGAAUGGG